rnacentral:lncRNA from 1 species
CUUCUCCAUCCCCCAGCACCGACACCCCCGACCCCUGCCCCAGGCACAAGCGGGUUCUUACUUGAGCUGUUUUCCCAAAGUGGAGGCUUCGAAUUGGGCCACAUAGUCUCUGCCACUAUCCUUGAUUGCUUCCACAUACACGGUGGCAAAAUCCUUCACCCGAUCCCAGGAUGACUGGGGGUCAUCUUGCUGCCAGAAAUGCCGAGCCUGGCUCCCUGGGAGGGAGAGGGGAGACCCAGAUCAGACCCAGCUCUGGGCCAGGAUCUGAGCAGAAGUGCUUGGCAGGGGAGAGGGCUGCGAGGGAGUAAUUCUGCUCCCUGGGCCCAGGAGGGUGGUCUGCAGGGGUUCAGGGAGAAGGCUCCCCACAAUGGUUGGCUCCCUAGGUUAGGGGCACCUACCCGUCAGGAAGAGCACAGCCAAGGUCAGCACCACGGCUUUCAUCUUGAAGGGAUGUGGGUGACCUGGAGGAGAAGAGGGGCCCAGCUGAGCAGGGCUUGAAGGAGCCCGUGCACUCUCUACUCACUCCAUCCGGGGAGGAGGAGGCGGGGCACAGGGUGGGGAGGGCCAGGGGUCCAGAGCCCCCAGCCUGGGGUAGAGGCUCGGGCCAGCAUCCCAGAGCCUCAAAUGCCUAGAGCUGGGGAGCGGGUAGCAGCACUUACCUCAAUGGCCAGCAGUCUAAUCAGCCAGCUCUCCCCCGGCCUAUUUAUGUGUCCAGGCAGGGCUGGGCUCAGAGGCUGAUAAGCCCAGCCCAGGCCUUGCCGCUGCUCACUGGUCCUGGCGAUGUGGAACUCAGAGUUCAAGGAUCAGCUCUGUCCCUGGGGCCAGACAAAUAGAGCAGGCAAACAGGAAGCUCCGGGGGCUGCAGGGCCAGGGAUCAAGAGUUCCAGCAGGGGUGGGAGGGGGUGUGUACAGGCGCGCAGGUCCCCAGAGUCGGGGGUCAGCGGUACCGGCCCGUCUCCUCCGUGGGGAUUGUGUGCCUGCCAUUGUCCAUUGUGCCAUCGCAGCGGGUGAGAGGAAGGAAGGAGGAAAAACACAGAGGCUGCCAAGGACGACGGGACUCCUCCACUCAAGAGCUCCUGGUGAUAAACAGAGCCCCAGUUUAGACCCCAGCACUGGGCAUCGUAACCAGAGAAGAGUCUCUCCUGCCCUCCUGCUUAGGAGACUAAGGUCAUGGCAGAGCAGGAGGUCUAGCUCCUCGGUAGGUACACCAGCCUUCCGAAUCCUUGAUCUGUGCAGGUGGAGUGGGGUGGGUGCGGUGGGGAAGGAGGAUACCUCAAAGUCAGAAAGAUGA